GGAAAGUGGAAGCUCGUAUUGACCGGCGGAAGCUGCAGUAUCCGCCUCUGUUGACAUUUGUUUCCUCUCUGCUCCGUCGGCAUCUCGUGGACCGUCACAUAAAUUCGUCCUCCAAUUUAUUGGAGACUUCUCGCUGUUGUAUUCUGCCCAAGUCCCGCCGCCGCCAUGUCUGACGAGCCGCACGUGGAGGAGCACGAGGAGCACCACGACGAUGAGGUGGACGCCGGCUACGCGCCGCCGCCAGAGAAGAGCCUGGACGAGUUGAUGGCGCUGGACACGGAGGACGAGAGCCUGCGCAAGUACAAGGCCACGCUGCUGGGACAGGCCACUGCUGGAGAGGUGGUCAUCGUCGACGAGUCUAACCCCAGUCGUGUGAUCGUGCGGCGCCUCGCCCUGGUGGUCGAGGGCAGGGACGACGUGGUGCUAGACCUGUCUGGGGACUUGGAGACGCUGAAAUCUCAGACCAUCACGAUCAAGGAGGGUAUCCAGUACCGGCUGCGGAUCGAGUUCCACGUGCAGCGGGACAUCGUCACCGGACUGCGGUACACCCAGAAAACCUACCGCAAAGGCAUCCAGGUGGACAAGAUGAACCAGAUGUUGGGCAGCUACGGCCCCAGGAAGGAGGUGCACACCCACCUGACACCCAUGGAGGACGCGCCCUCAGCAUCCUUGCCGGCACUGCUCCUACCUGGCUGAACCCUGGAACCUACUCACCUCUCUUCCUGCAAGAACAGCGUGCCUGGCCAAAAAUCCUGCCGAUCCUGAGAUUCGAACCGUGGUUCGAACCACGCUUCCUUGGACUGCUCCAGCGGACCUCGGGCAUGCUGGCGCGCGGCACGUACCACGUCAAGUCCGUGUUCUGCGAUGACGACAAGAAUGAGUACCUCAAGUGGGAGUGGAGCUUCGAGAUCAAGAAGGACUGGUGAGCCUCCCCGCCGCCCCGCCCCCGACCCCGCCCCCGCGCGGCCGGAGGGAGGGUGACAGGGCGCGGGCCGUCGCUUUCGCCCGGCGUUUUGAUGGGGCUGUAACGCCGCUAAUGUUCAGCGCACACAACGAUGAGGCCGAAACCGGUUACCGGAUAGGUUGCCAGAUGGAUCACGAGGUCGGUUGCCAGAUCCGUGCCUGACUGGCUUAGUGGUCGGUUCAGACGUUGGAUUGGCUCCUAGAGGGCUGCCAGAUUUGACGCCCACAGGGCUGCCAGAUUCGGCUCCCGCAGGGCUGCCAUACCGGUUGUCCGACCGGCUACCACGCGGUGCGGUGGCUUCGCUCAUGUGUUAUAUUUUAGGCGUACCGGUGUCAGCAGAGCUGGGGCGCGAUCGGAGAGUUUGCGUGCGUUUGGCGCUGUGUGUGUGUGUUCAUUACUCGAAGAGGCGUUUUUGUGCUGAUGUGUGCCUGAGAUUUGUGAUAAUCUUUGCUUACAGAAAUUCGUUCCAUUUUUGCUUACUGUCGUGGUCUUUUCCGAUUCGAUCCACAACAACCAAGAUAAUUUCAUAUCAGUCUAUGUUAGCCGCCGCACGCGCGCGGCGCACCAGUCAGAACGCGGAACGCUCGAUUCUCUGUUUGCUGUUGAUAAUCUGUUCUCGGUGUUCCUUUGCUCUCUAUGUAAUCAGUCGGCUGUAUCAUAUACGUUCAGUGAUAAUCGUACGCUGUAAGCGGAAUCGCGCGGGAUUCAACAGCGUCGUGAGCGAAUAAUUCUCAGUGUAAGUGUAUUUUGGAGAGCUGCACGUUCCCAUUCGUCGGCGAGAUAUUCCUGAGCGGAGGAGCUUUGUCGGUUGCUUAGCUACGGCGCUCGUGGAUUUCGACGCUGGCUUCUUCCGGUUUGUACCAGUCAAAGACGUCGUGUUUCACGUCUAGACUUUGGACGAUCGUAUUUCACUCGGCGACUGCUUU
rnacentral:misc_RNA from 1 species